rnacentral:rRNA from 1 species
GCUCCUACGGGGCGCAGCAGUGAGGAAUAUUGGUCAAUGGACGAGAGUCUGAACCAGCCAAGUAGCGUGAAGGAUGACUGCCCGAUGGGUUGUAAACUGCUUUUGUACGAGGGUAAACCCCGAUACGUGCAUCGGGUUGAAAGUAUCGUACGAAUAAGGAUCGGCUAACUCCGUGCCAGCAGCCGCGGUAAUACGGAGGAUCCGAGCGUUAUCCGGAUUUAUUGGGUUUAAAGGGUGCGUAGGCGGUUUGAUAAGUUAGAGGUGAAAUGUCGGGGCUCAACCCCGAAACUGCCUCUAAUACUGGU